ACUCUCCCAGCUCUGCAUAGUUACACUUGUUUUCAUACGUGUAACUUUCGUAAUGGGGAGAGAGAGAAAGGAUCUCCUCAAGAUCUCAGAUUGGUCUCAUUGUGGCCUCUCCUUCCUUGAGGGGCACAACAAGC
ensembl:snoRNA